rnacentral:lncRNA from 1 species
GUUCUCCUCCCAGUCCUAACUGUGGAAGGAAAAGACAAGGAGCGACUCCUGUCACCCUUGCUUGACCAGACCCUGACCAGAAAUCCAGGAGGCUGACUUGGUCGAGGAGAGCAACGCUAUCACGAGAGACAGAGUGCCAGCCCUGAGAUGAGUCUGCUUGCACAGACCUCACUAAAAUCACCCUUAUCUUCCGUUGGUUCCCCCGUAUCCUUCCUGGGCACUUCUCCACAACUUAUCACCCUUUGUUAAAAUGGACACGUGAGUUGCAACCUCUGAAUCAGGAAAUGUAACUCUACUCAGUUUUAUGGAGCAAUAGGGAAAGAAACAACCAGUCACGCCCCUCUGGGUCUUGUGACCAAGAGAGUUCAGAAGCUGCUAUUAGUGGGAGAUUUGGUGUCUUUUUGGGAGAUGAAAAACUUCUGAUCCAGUUACAAGUGCUUCUGGUCUCAUCUUGGACUUGUGAGAUGUGGUCUCUGUAGGCACGUUUGCACCUUCCGCACCACGCCCAAUCCCAGCUUCCUCUCUGCAUGUUGUGCAGCCCGCUCUCAUUAUCCACCCCACCUCCAGGUGCGUGUGUCCUGCCUUUUGUGAGAACAGCAAGCCCUCCAGCCUGCUUCCCCAGCGAUGUCUGGGUCCUGUCUUGGCAUGGUGAUUGUUCUUAUUUUCAUCACUUGAACUCUUAGAAAUCAGGGCCCCAGUGUUCACCAUGUCAAACAUUAACCCAGGACUGUCUGUCUCGACACAAAGCCACAGUCCCCCAUGGGCACUGAGGAAGACGGGCUGCCCUCGCCAGGUUGCACAGCGUGUCUCUGCUCAGGGAUCACGGGGCCAACAUCAGCGGUCGGGGGCAAAACAGCAGCAGCGACUGCGGAAUGCAGAUAAUCUAUGUGGAUCCAUUUGACACUAAAAGUGUUGAUUUCAGCCUCUAUUUUGUGGGGCAAUGUGUGGAUUUUAUACUUUUCCCCCAAACCUGCAUACGCACCACUGAAAAACAGGACUUUUUGCAUCCCAAGGAAAUUUUCUGGCUGAAGGACUUUCCCUGCGAAAUGCAGGCCAGUGCCAGGCUGACCGGGGCGGCUGGUCCCCGGGGUACAGGGCUCCCCUGACCACAGCAGCAGCGGCGGAGGGUCUGUCUUCCCACAGGGUCCAGGGCGUCGGUCCACAUAGAUUGCUCUCGUGUGUCCCUCUUCUCUGCUGAAAGAGUCCCUUCUGGUGAGGGCUUCCUCGGGACCCCUUACAGGAACAUCCUGCUGCCCCAGGG